rnacentral:rRNA from 1 species
GACGUAGGGCGCGAGCGUUGUUCGGAAUUACUGGGCGUAAAGGGCUCGUAGGCGGCCAACUAAGUCAGACGUGAAAUCCCUCAGCUUAACUGGGGAACUGCGUCUGAUACUGGAUGGCUUGGAUUCGGGAGAGGAAUGCGGAAUUCCAGGUGUAGCGGUGAAAUGCGUAGAUAUCUGGAGGAACACCGGUGGCGAAGGCGGCAUUCUGGACCGAUAUUGACGCUGAGGAGCGAAAGCCAGGGGAGCAAACGGG